GGGCAGGGGGAUUUUAUUUCCCCCCUCGCACCCGCCGCCCCCGAGGCGCUGCCACCGCGGCUGCUGGGCUCGGCCCUGGCCAGCGCUGGGGCCGGCUGGGCUGGCACCGGUGACAUCGGGCACGGGGGAAGCUUCCGGCACCUUCUGGCAGAGCCGCCCCGUAGCCCCCCGCUGCCAACGCCUUGCCCGCAGACCCAGUGCAGAAGGGCACCAAAAGUUGUGGCAGAAGUAAGAGUUUUGUUAAAGAAGACAGGAGCGCUAGAAGGCAGCACAGCUACCCAAAUUUGAACGAUGCUAGUGCUUCAGCUCAUUAGUGCCAUUCUUACCUUGUUCUUUUCCAAAAUGAUGCUCCCCUGAUGUAUGGCUUUCAUCUUUAAUGACCGUAACUGUUUGGCCUGACCUUACUUCUGACAAGGCUAAUCAGAUAAAGCAGUCAAAACAGGCGAGAGGCUCGACUGCACGCAGCACCAGAGUGGCUCUCAGCCAUCCGACAGAGAUCUGGGGUGACUGUUGCUGUGUGUCGGUCCCCCAGGCGGUUCUGGUGCCAUGCCGCUGUGCCAGCACCUGUGUCAGGGUGGGCCCUGAUGCGACCCCUCCUCAUUCUCCCGCUGCCUCCAGUAACUUUCUUUGCUGUUGGGGAGAUCUCUGGAGGCACGUGUCUUGCUUCCGCGAAUGAACGACUUUCAAACCAGCGUUCGAAGCGCUUCAGUAUGGCACAGGGUAACGGGGCAAAAGUUCUGCCUCUGAAUAGGUGUUUUUGUAGCACCGUAGCCUCCUCGAGGUUUGAAGGUGCAUAAAAACAUAGCAUGUAUUUUAGAUGCACUUUUCCCCUGUUUUUAAUGUAUUCAGUGUUUAUUAAAGGUCGUACCCUAAAAGAGGCAGGAGGCUGUGCCCUCUGCCCUAACUGAAGCCGGGUAAAGCCCAGAAGUGCGAUAAGGCAGCAGGGAGUGGAUGGGCAAGGAGCAACAUGAAAUCAACAACAGCAUGAUGGCUUCAUUUUUUAAUGAUUUCAGCCUUAUUGAGAACUGCUCUCAGUUCUUGAGAGGAUGGGCUUAAGACUUGUCGAGAAUUCUAUGUGCUACUGAGAAUUCAACGGUGGUUUCUAGACUAACUGGUUUGCUAGAUUUUGCCCAGGAAUAACCGUGGCCCCAAACUCCCCCUUCAAUCUGGCUGACAAAAUAAGGGCUGCCUGUACCGAAGGCUUCGGCGCUGUUAUGAAUGUAUUAUCAAAGAGGCUCUUGCUUGUCGCCAGCUCCAGUUCCCUGCUUCAGCAUGUCUCCAGUGUGCCUGCCAUACAGUGCUACAACUUUACCACAAAGGUUUCGGGGUUCUUGUCUCCACCGGAGCGUAGUUUGGGAAUUAUGUUACGUUAAAUUCAGGGAACUAAACGAUCGGUUCACCUUCCUGCCUGCUCCUGGUGUCUGCCCUCACGCCAGUAACUAGUGAGCAGCUACUACAGCCUGCGUUUGGAUAUGGUGGGCUAUGAAAGGCAGGGAAACAUGUAACUGAUAGAGUUCUCAAAAAGUAUUCUAAUUGUCCCAAAGUGAAAUAAGAUGAUCAGAGCAAAUUAAGAAUGAUAUAUCAAGUUUGGUAAGGUUGGUUUGUUGGUUUUUUUUCCUUUGUUGAUUUAUUUUCUGGGAAGAAUCUAGCUUGGCUGAGUGUGCGAUUAAGUAGCUGAUGGAAUAGUUCUUUACAGAGAGGAGAAGAUGCCAGAACAUUUGAGUGGUGUAAAACUAGACUGCACAGAGGAUUAGAAAAGGUACAGGGAGGAAUAAUUUUGUGUUGGCAGGAAGUAGACUUAAUAGUACUUUUUUAUCUGUAAUUUUUAUGAUUCUACGGCUAACCAGGGAAAUGUUUAAUGUUCCUGAUACAGCAACUGAAGGUGGAAGAAGGAAGACUGACAUACCCAGCACUGUUAUAAUUCAUUUCAUUACUUCACACAGGGCUGUUAUAUUGUCAUGCCCAUAAAGCGCCAGUGUGUGUGCUUAUAGCCAAUUCAUCUUUAUAUACUGCUGCUGAUCCCAUUGAAGCGAAUGGCAAAACUCCCAUCAAUUUUAAUGGCAGUGGGAUAUGGCCCAUUUUGUAGAUAUACAAUGUAUAUUUCCUGCACACACUAUUUUUCGUGUAUAACGUGCCUCUCAUCUGAGGCUCAGAGAAUGUUUUAUAAAGUGGCUAAGUCACAACCAUUGAUGUAGUCUCCAGCUGAUGAGAUAACGUGAUCUGUCUUCAAAACGAGAUUUAAAGGUUGACAUUUAUUUAUCUAUCUAGCUAUCUAUUUAUUUAUUUAUUUUGGGCACGGUAUGCAUGUAGAAGGUCUCCAUGUGCCCAAAUAAAUUGCAGGAGGUAACUAUGUUGGAAAUAGAUGUUACACUUGCAAGGUUAACAUUAUGCUUCAGCGUUUGAAAAAUAGGAAGCAUCAAAGAAAAUUGAAGGCAGCAUGGAUCAGUGAGUUAGUACAUUACACAGCAGUCUACAGCACCAGAGGCUAAAAAUGUUCCCAUUUGGAAAGCUUCUGUUUGGAUAGCAACUCACUCAAUUAGCAAGGUAGAAACCAAAAAAAAAAAAAGUUGAAAAAAAAAAUAUUGAUUCUUUGGAUAUUUUAGCAAGUGCUUUUAUUGAGAAACCUUUUAAACAGCAGUCAGGUGUCUGUUGCAUCCAGAACACAUCAUCCUUGACCCUAUUUAAAGAAAAUGUACGAUGUAUGAGCCACAUUUUAGAAGACGUAAACCCUGUUGGUUAUGCGUUGAAAGAUCUGGAUUCAUAGCAGCAUCCAGCACGUGUGUACUGGAAAUGGAAUUGCUUGACAAGCUGAUGUUUUCACUGAAGAAGCUUCCUUUCUUCUCAAUAAUGCAUGCUGGCGAGCGGUCACAUUCACAGCUUAAUGAGAGAACAGGGGUUGUAGAGGACGCGAAUGGGAAGCUUGCAGCUUAACUAAAACUCUUUAGAAUGUAGCUGUGAGUUAUGUACCAGUAGAGACUAAAUAAUUCAGCUGACUGCACUGCAGGUGCCGGAUCACCGAGCCCUACUGUACAAUACACUCUUCCGCUCGGUGCUGGCUGCCGUCACAGGUCCUGGCACGGGGUUGUGGAAAGACUAAUGAACUCAUCCCUUGACUGGAUGUACGCAAGAGUGUGUCCAGCUUGUUGAAGUACACUUGCCUUAGUUAGCGCCAUGACGUUGAGGAGUAUUGCUUUAUGAAUGCGUUGGUUUAAGUAGCUGUGCUGUGUUGGGGUGACGCGGUAACGGGACAGACACCACCAUUCUGAAGGACAUCAGCAUCAUCUCAACGUACCAGCAGUCCACUUCUGUCCGCUCCCUUACAGCCACUCAAAAAUCGUUCUCUAAGACACAUACGAAUUAACUGGGUUUGGUUGACUGGUUUUCACCAUAUUAACAUUUUCAGAGGUUGGAUUGUUUUUUUUUAAGUAUUUAAGUAGUUUUCUGGGUUUUGUUUUUAAUUAUUAUUAUAGAUACAAAGCUAACUUGAACUGUUUUGUCCUCAAAGUCUCCAGGUCUCAUCUUUCUGUUAAGAGUUACAUGUUUUACUCAUGGAUAUGAUGUGAGGAUGUGAGCCACACAGAUCUUAGGGCAACAAAAGCCAAGCCUGGCCCAGUAGCAUUUGUUUACUCUGUAAAGGUCUGACUCCACCAAUUUCCACAAGCUGACUAACGUGGAAAUUUCUUUUUUUAAAAAAAUUAUGAAGCUGCUUUUUAAUGAGAGCAUCCAUUAUUUUUGCUGAGAAUAUAUGAUGCUUUAAUAGCAGAGGGCGGGGACGAGGAAAGCUUUUUGCCACAGAUUUUCUUCCCAUGUCCUCUCUUAAAAGACAGAGUCUUGCAACCCACGGCAGCUGUCGGUAGUCCGCAAAUUAUUUCUGCCCUCCCCAGCAGAUGUCACAGUGGCAGUUGGCAGUGUACUGUGAACUCCAGAGAUGUCAAAGACUAAAGUGAGAGAAAAUUGUUAAACAAAAAAGAUAUAAAAUGUUCUUUCUGAGACAAAAAAACAUAAAUGUCUGGGCUUCUGACAAAAACCUGUCGCCCUAGCAUAUUAUUUUUGCAGAAUACAAAAUGCUCUGACUUCUAAACUUGGCUUUGCUUUAGUCUGAGGUAUGCUGCUGCUUUUUAAAAUUAUUGAUGCUUGACCCAAGAAACACAAAGGACGUGUUUUGUUUUUUCUUGGAGCUGCAUCAUACAAACUAGCUCCCAAUGCAGAAGAGGAAGUGUUUUGGAAAAGCAUUUACAGUUGUGGGGGUGCAGAGGCAAUGGAUGCCGAAAGGGGGGUUAUGGAAGUUCAGUCUCUGAAGGCCACUCUGCUGCUUGAAGCAAUGCCACCUUUUGUGGCUUUUGGAGUUGAUUUGCAGCAGAAGUGGGUUUUUUUGAACUGGGCGAUAGAUACUAGUUCUGACAAGAAGCAGUGUCUGAGGAGGAGCAGGAGAAGAGAUGUGUUGAGCUAAAAAGAAAAAUAAAAUUAUCAGACUUUAUGCUACAUUUAAUUACUAUGGUUUUAAAAGUAUAGAGGAGCUAUGGUUGGAAUGAAUAUUACGCAAACUGGUAAAUAGAAAAAUAUGUGUAAGAUGGAUUUUGAGCCCCGAAUUUCCCACACUGGAACCAAAAUACUGCAGAGUGCACCAACUGUUUGGAAGAACAAGUAAAAAGAAAAUUAAGAUAAUUAUCAUAAUGACUGGAAUACCAAUUUGUCAGUUAUUUCGAGGUGUUUUCAAGUGACAGAAAACUUGAAUUGCUGGCUUAAAAUGAAAAUAAGUGUUUGAGGGACAAAACAGAACUCUGAACUGCUGGGUUUGUCCCCUUUCUAUGGUCUGAUUUGCAGACAUUUGUUGAUAUGGAGCUUCUCACACUAUACAAGCAGCAGGGUCUUCAUUAAAAUUUGGGAAACUCCACGUUCAGGAAGUUGAGAUGCAAUGCCCGUGUUUCAAUUGGAAGGUCAUUUUCACAAGAUAUUUCUGAAAAUGAGGGUGUAAUAAGCUGUGACCCAGCACAGACAGAAUUAUUGUUACUGGUGACCAAUUUUGGAUGAUCUGUUUUAACCACACGCAUUGGGCAGGCUCUUGGAGAACCGUACGGAAGAAGCCAGCAGAGUUGCUCUUUGCCGGCUCUACUGAGCGGAUCCAUGUUUUCCUCUGAAGUACCUGACCAUGACUCUGCAGAGACUCAAGGUUGGACUAGAUUGGACUGUGCAGGGUUUGGUUGAUGCAAGAAGGAAAUAUCUGUGUUUCUGUGAAAAAUGGUCCAAACAGAAUUUAAAAACAAUAAAAACAGAAGCUUCCCACUACACACACACGUACACACAUGCAGAGCCUUUUAGUUUAAGCUCUUCUGCCUGAAAGUUACAAACAGCUAGAGUGUGAUUGAGUUUGUGGGAUCGGAGAUAAGAAGUGAAACCUGAUUAAAUGCUUUGGGGUGUGAUUUGUUUUGUCUGUUUUAUCGAACCUGUUAGAUUAUUAAUGUCUUCUAUAUAUUUUGAAUAAGCAGAACAUUUGGAAGGAAAAAAAAACCUCUGUGCUAGGGAGAAAUGCCUUAAAAAUCUGGUCUUCCAAAGUUGUUUUUGGGUUUUUUUUUUGUGGUUUUGGUUUUUUUGAUUAUUAAAGAAAUAAAGGUGGCAAAAUUGCUAUUUCUGAAAUAGGCUAUAAUACAAGGAGAAUAUAAAAGAGCUUUCCAAGAAAGCACAUCCUCUGUUAUAUGCCACAUUAAAAGGAAAACAGGAACUCUCUUUCAUACCUUUAGUCUGCCUUAAAUGGAGUAAGGUUAACAGUGGCUAUGUGACCUAUGUCUCAAAGUCAUAUUCACUUCCUUGGAGACUUUAGGCUUUCAAAAUCAUUUCAGCACUUUGAAAACGUUAUCUUAAAGCUCAACAUGGACAGAGGUUUCAGAUAGUUCCAUAAGGCAGCUCCUCCUCCUCCCAUCCUGAUUACUUCAGGUACACAACUGCUAUUGCUGAUGGUGAAUGGGAAAGUGCAUUUGAUCUGCCACAGGGGAUUUUAAUGAAAAUAUUGUAUAGACUUGUUUCGGGGGGUGUGUGUGUGUGUGUGUGUGUGUAAGGUUAAAUUGUGUUGGAAUACCUGUAGCUGGUUUGCACUGAUCAUGGUUAUGAUGAAUAAAGCAGGACCAGGCAUGAAUGGGUGCAAAGUUCUGCAGGAGCGAUGGUGAUGCAGGCAGAGCUUAGAGAUGCCAUGGGAGCAGUUCAUCUCUAACAGCCCCUACGUCUGUGUUUUGCUCAAAUUAUGUGACAGGAUGUUGCACAGAGGAUACCUUUUGGAAGGGAGGGCAGCGUGAAGAUGCCUGUUGUUGGUAUAAUGAAGGUAAUUUCAGGCUGGGAACCAUUCCUUGGGCUAAGGAUGUUUCCAAAAGCCCAGCUGAUGUCUGCAUUCGGGCUCAAAAAUGAAUUUGGGCCCUGACAAUCCCCUUUCCAGGAAGCUGAAGGUUUGGGUCUGGGUGCAGCUGAGCCCGUAGAGGCGCACAGAUAGGUUUCACCUUCAAAAGAAUGUAAAAUCCAUUAGAAAAGCCCCAUCCCUUUGGAUAGGAAGUUCCUCCUCAUGCUCUGCUGCCAAGCGACGUGCAGCCCAGCAGAAUGAUCGGUCCCUCCUCCAGGGCAUCUCCACUGCAGCGGGCACACAGGGAAGCCCAGCCACCCUGAGUCGCCUUGCUCCCUUUGCUGCUGCUUCUUACUGCUCUGCAUCACGUUGCACUUGUGCAGCACCCUCCGUGUUUGUGAAGAGAAUUGUUUUGUUUCUUCCUACCCAAAAUUUUAGGGGAGGUAAAAAGAAAACCUGCAAGGAGUGUAGGAGAGGCAAGAGCAACUCUGGAUGGAGCUGAGCAGGGUGGUGUGGUGGGAGAGAGAAGAGAAUGAGUGCUUAAGGCGGUUGCAUUAGCAUCCAAAGUAAAGUUGUUCAAUUGGAAGCACUGACAAGGAUGAUUCCUAUGAUUUUAGGGAAGCCAGAAAGCAUAUGAAGUGGUCUCCUCUUGCACUUUCUCUCCCAGCAGUCAUUGUCUGCUGUACUGGGGGACAAGGUAUUGCACUAGUGAUGGGUCUGGUCUGAUGACAUAGGGCAGGAUUUAGGGGGUGUCGCAGUGAGAUGGCUCACUGCACAAGCUCCUCCCCCCCAAAAGGUAAUAUGUAAAGAAAAUUAAAUAAUCCUUAAGAACUAGUCUUAUUGAAUUUGUAGUAAUAUAGUGAUCCCAGGAUGCUUUUGGUUUUCAAAUUUCUGUGGGUACGUAGUAAGCGUGAAGAUUUUCUUUCAAAACAGCAAUGGUACUUCUGAAUCAGCAAAGCGCGUACCUGGUCUUUGCCCUUCUUUCCGUGGUGUGCUCCCUUUCUGAAAGCACUGGGUUAGAGCUCUGAUAAAUCUGAGAUAAGCCAGCCCUAGGCACAGCCAGCUGGGCAGCAGCCUGUCCUGGAGGAAGAAGUUAACACACGUAACAAGUGAUACUGCCGUAUCGCUGUGUUGAUGCCUUCUGAUGUUUUAUGCGAUAUAUUUGUUCAGUGAGCCUGAUGAGGUGAGAGUGAGCUCUGACCCUUUCCCCUUCCUGCCUUGAACUCGUGAUGACAAGCCUACGAUGACUUCUUUGAACUUUUGCUCCUGUACUCAGACUGGGGGGUGCAUACCCAGUGUUGACCUUUUGUUUCUCAGGGGCUUCAGGUAGGAGUAUGUUCUUGUUCUACAAUACCUAAAUAUUAUUCAACUGAGUAACUGAUUUUCUGACCUGCUCCAAAAGGUGUGCUUACAUAAAACGCGAAGUCUGUAAUGAAUGCCAGCCCAGUAAAUUUACUGCAGGGUGGACAAGAGUGAAAGUGAAGUGGUUGUUUUCUUUCAAGAGUCCAUGCAAACUGGAGUAACAGUGAAGUUAGACAUCAGUCCAUUGGCCUAAUUUAUACUGGAUCUGAGCUACUGCAGCCUCUCCUGGAGAACUGUUGUCUUGGCCAGUAUCAUGUUUGGACACAAAGUCAGCUCUAAUCUCGCUUAAGUUUCACUUCUGUGUUUCCAAGGUGAGUCAGCGGAGCCUUGCGUACAGCCUGUCAACCCAUUUCGGGUCACAGCUAUUUCCCAGAGCCAGUUUUAUAACACAUUUAUCCCAUAAACCUCCUCCAUUAAAGGACGUCAAUACAUAUGUUAGACUUAAAGAUUUCCUAACUGCUUUUACCUUGUAGCGGUGGCUGUCGCUCUGAAUCUACGUGCUGAAAACAUCUCCUGUCUGUGUCAGCAGGUCCUUUGCUCUGUAUUCUUUCCCUACAGACCCCCUGUACUUUGCGUGCCGUAUUUCCCCUAUGAAGGCUGGCAGGUAUGCUCGCAGCCUUGUAAAGGAUUUGUUAAGAAAUUAUCGGGAGACCCUCGUGUCUGAUGCAAAUAUAAACAAGUGAGCUGCAGCUUUCCUGUUCCACAGGAGAUGGCAUAAAAGCAGGGCUUGAAAAAUGGAGGAAAACACAUAGUAUGUUUAUAUGUGAAGGGAGACAAGCCUUCCUGGGAUUGCAACCGCUGGCACUGUUACAAGGCAGCAAAACCCUGGAGCAAAUCCUUAACAGGCAUAAAUGUUCUGUGGGACAAACGCUCCGCUGGUGUAACUGCUCGCAGUUUCAGCAGAGCCGUGGUAGCAGACACCAGCGAGGGGUCUGCUCCGUCCUUUCAGAGGGAGAGGCUUUCUGCAAGGUUUUACUUGCAAGUUCCAGAUGUUCACAGCACCUUGGCUUAGCAAUUAGUUUCGGACUAGAACGCCUGGGUGGCCUGGGGGUACCGGCCUAACCAAGUAAGCAGUGUGCUUUGAGCCAGGACAGCCCUCUGGAGGUGGGUUCCCUCUCAGAGGCAAGGGAAGGGUGUCCCUGGGCUUCCCCCCAAGCAUGAGCUUUCUGAAGAUGCAGAUGUACUUGUAGCUACCAGGGCUUUGCCUGGUUAUCCAAAAUGGGGCCGGACUGGGAGUACACAAAAAGUAAGAAACUGGUAAACAGGGCUUAACGAAGGGGAGAGAGACCUGAGACCAUGAGUAACAAGCUACUGACUGGCUCCCCUUUUUGCACACAGAGUUUGCUCUAACACGCUGUAGGCAAACCCAGUCCUAUCCUACCUAAAAUUUUCUGUCUUUAUUCUCGAAGUAGCAAAGACUUGUGUGCUGUCUGCUUGGUGAAAGCUACUGCACGUGGUUUAUGCAGUGCUUGCGAAGUGCAAGUUUUCUGUCUUGUCCUAUUUGAAUACCUGGAGCUGUAAAUGAGGCUCACUCAACCUUUAGUGUCUAGAAUGGUAAUAAGUUGUGCAUGUAUAUAUACAUAUACAUACAUAUAUAUAUAUAUAUGUAUACUGGUACAUAUAUUCAUGGGAAGAAUUUAUUAAAAUGUAGUGACACAAAAGUAAUUUCCACUUCAAUUUCAGAGAAUAAAGCAAAUCCAUCUUUCUGUCGGUCAUACUUCUCCCACGUUGUCUGCCUCAGAGAAUGGGAUUUCAGUCGUUCAAAUGAAAUUAGAAUGUCAUGACCUUGACCUGAAUAGAAAAAAGAAUAAUAAUAAAAAAAUAAAUAUUUAUACAGAAUAUGCCUAUCUAAUCUGUGCGGUUUCUAGGGCUGUUCAUUUGUGAGCAUUGUUAACUCGGCAGCAAUAACCUCCCAUAUUGGUGCAGCUGAAUGUCAAUAUUAACACGCAGUAUUACAUGCGUUAAAAAUGCUCCCUUUGCCUUUCUUGGGGGUGGGGUAGGGUUGUUUUGUAGUGUGUUUUUUCUUUCCUCCUAACAUGCAUGAUGAGUCUCAGGUAUAACACUCUAAAUUUUUUAUUAUAUUCAGCCAAUCCAGAUCUCAUUACAUUAGACAAACACUGUACAGGAAAAAAGUGGAUCACAGAAAUGCCACUAAUAUUAUUCAUGAAUUUUCCUACUGCAGUAGGUUGGAAACAUGCUACAAAUAGUCUCCUAUAAAUGACUUUGUUUAAGUUCUGUAUUGUAUUUCUGUAUUUUUUCAUUACUGUUUAAGAGACUUUGAUUCAUUUCUUCACAUAAAAUUCAGCGCUUCACUGUUGCUGUUUGUUCUCUAUCGUCGACGAUAAUGUUCAUCUCUCUCACCUCCUUUCCCCCUUCCUGCUGAUCUCUGGGUAUCAAUCUGUACCACAGACUGGAACUUCACAUUGCUGUAGCUUUUUCUAGAAUAGGGAUUCCCUUUUUUUUUGUUGUUUGUUUUGGUUUUUUUUUUUUAGUGUGCUUCGAAUCAGCCAUAAUUUAUGACUGCUCAAUACUGUUUCAGCUACUGUAGGUAAUAGUUUAAUUACCCGUUCUCUUCUGAUGUAAUGCUGUUUGCUUACUGGUAGUUGCUGUUUUAUGUUGUGUUGUAAAACAGCCCAAAAUAUGGGAACAGAAAUAGAUUAUUUAGUGCAUAUAUAAAACAUACAGAAUUAUAACUUCUAUUAUAUAUGUGAAAUAUAUAAGUAAACCCAAAUAAUAUUACAUAAAACAAUAUGGCAUGCAUAUGGACUAGGUCAAUGGCAUGAAGGUCUUUUGGAGAAGUCUUACUAACGGAAAAGUUCCAAUCAUAAAUUGGACCAUGCUGUAGUGUUUAAUAAAAAUAUUAUAUGUGAAAUUAAUUUCUAUAUGAUGUUUUAGAACAGUUUUGAAACAAGAUUCUAUCUAACAAAUUCCAUAGGUUUGCAGAAUAAUUUCUGUAUAAAUCCGUGGCACUUCUAUAGAGUUUUAUUGUUUCAAUUAUUCCUUCUUUUAGGUUGCACAAAACCUUCCCGUACAGAAGCACAGUAUCUUCUCCUUGUGGUUGGAUAAAGUCCUAGGGCAUCCUGUGGUAUAAAAUGCAAAAAUAAUAUGCUCUUGACAAGAACAGGUCUGUGUUUAUUGGGAAUUGUUGAUUAUCUGAAAAGAUCAGUUGUGCAUAUUAAUUCAAGAAAGCUUUUCUGCUGGUUAUGGUACGUGUAUGUUGAAUGCCUCUCCUGGUCUGUCACUGAAAUCGAGAGGGUGAGGAUGCACGAGGCUACUAGUAGGUUUGAGCUUCAAAAAAGAAAACGUGGUGAAAUGGAGCAAUGGGAAAGGCCAUGAGUGCUGUGAGUGCUUUCUCGCGAGACUACUGCAGCUAGUUCACAAAUCGUCCUCUUCUGUUGCUCUCCUGUCUUUUUGGGAGAGCUGGCAGACCCUGGGUGCUGCGUCAUCUCUGCUCUUUGUCACCCUGGUUCCAUUCUCACUGCUUUGGGACCCCCCUGGUACUGAUGCCAAAAUGACACAGAGUAACUGCUCAGAGACAAAUCUUGUCUUUAAGCAGCAAAGGUAUUUAUUUCGUGCAACGUUGGGGAGCUGGCUGGUUCGCGCCGGACAAACUAGCUCCGAAGUUUUCAGUGAAAAGUUAGGUGAUUUAUAUAGUUUAUGUGAGAGGUUACACAACGUCUUUACAUACAUACUGAUUUGAUUUUGACAAUCAUUCCAUUCACAAUAGGUGGGAUCUAGGUGGAAUAAACCUUUCAAUUUUCUUUGUUCAAGGAUUUCCUGACUUAAUGGUCUCCUUAUCUCCUUCAGGUGCCCACCUUAUCUUUUCUAAUUAUUCAGAGUACAUUCCUUUCUCAACACAAACAGAGCAUCACCCAGAGCAUUGUAACAAACCAGCCCUGACUAAUCUUUUUAUUUUAAGACCUUGUUCUCUUUCAGUACACUUCAUUGUUCACCUGGCAAGGCAGUCUUGAGGGGUUUCUCCAGUGGCGGUGACAUUACUCACCACAUAACAUCUCUGAAUACUGCCUUCAGAAGUUACUGGCAAGUGAGCAUUUUUUCUGAAGAGUUGACCUCUUGCUUGACCAUAAAACUUCAACAACAUUUCACAGCUGUUGUUUUUUGUUGGGUUUUUUUCCCCUUCCAUGUGCUGUGGAAGGAAGGGCGAACAGCGAGCUCUGCAGGGACCAGCAGAUCAGAUGACCCUGCUCCUGGCUCUUUCAUUUGUUGACCACAAGGUUUAUUUGUUGAAGUGAUCAAUUUUAUUUAUUAUUAUUUUUAUUUGUUUAUUUCAGACAGGUGAAGUGAUGCAUGAUUCGGAGUCAUUUGGCCAAGCCGAGUCUCUGUGAGUGACAGUGCGCUUUUAAUAGCUUCCUCCCGUAAUGAUUAGGCCAAUGUAAUAUAAGCAGUGCUUGAACUGGUAUUACACUCACAUAUGAAUAUUCAGUGACGUAGUAUUUUUGGUGCCAGAGCUUGUUUUCUGUAACUGUAGAAGGCCUGCUUGUCAGAUAAUACCAAUAUAUCGAUCGCUAGAAAAUGGCACUAAUUAGAGAAAUCUGAAAGGUCUAGAGGGUCAGAGAUGUGCUGCUAUAGUUGGUGUUUAUUUCUUUUGACUCAGCUGAGAGGUGUGAACUGGAUUUUUUCUAACUCGGUGGUUAGGGUGUAACAGUCUUCACUUUAAAACAGAGUUGCCAUUGGUGCUGAGUUGCUGUAGUCUCUUUUCUGUCCUCUCGUGUUUGUGACUUCUGUUCACUAAAGUUAUUAAAGCUCUUGUGCAUUCUGGAUAUGAAUAAAAAAAUAAAAAUAGCUAUUAGUACAUUCACUGUUUACUACCAGAAAACUGCUCUCCACUCCCCCCCACCCUCCCCCCCAGCAGGUUGCUGCACAGAAUACUUUGAGUUAUAGCUUUAUUUACCUUCAUCCAAGAAUUUUGCAGCAAAGGGGCUGUUAAUAAAUCUAAGCCAAAAGGGAAACACCGGUGAAAAUAUGGAAGCAUGUUCAGCCUCAGUCCCAGGUAAGCUCGUUUCGGGUUUAAUGCAAGUCCUCUGACAUAGGAACAUGUAAGAGAGACAGGGAGGAGCGCUGACAGGGGUGGCAUGGGGGGAAACCCCAAGCAUUCACAUCUGGUUUGUCUGUCUUAUUUCCUGAGCUGUAUUUCAUUGCCCUCAUUCUCUCGCUGUGCUGACUGACCAAGAAAUCGCUAAAGAUUUCCAUGCUCCAUCCUGCCGCAGGUUGGUCAGGCGAGGAAGCCGGGGGGAGGGGGGGAGGGGAGAGGCAUUCUGUAGCCCAGGUUGUGGCAUCAAAGACUGUACAGGAUAAGGCUGCAGGGCACCUUUUCACGAAUGUAGUUCACAUUUUCAUGAAUGUAGUUAAGUGAAGACAGUGCAGCCCACAGGACAGCCUGGGUGUGUUGCAAUGUUGAGGAAAACCAUUCUACUUUCUCCACACAAACCAGUAGCUGCCUCGGUAUUCCCAUGGGAGGCUGUGGCACCUGAAACCCUUCAUACCUAGGGAAAUUGCAUACUCCUGAGUAUAAGCAAGCAGGGUUUGAGGUCAAACCAUUUACUGUGCUGAGGGCUUUCCAGGGCAAUAACUAUCUUGUCCUCCUUUUCUUGUAUUUCUGCAAGGUCUAACACCAUCAAGUUCUGGUCCACAGCCACACACCUUAAUGCGUACUGUGAAAUAUACACGAGGUGUAAUACACGUAGUGGGUUCACGUUCAUGUGGAGCAAGGCGUAUCUGAACUCAGCACAGACAGGAACUCAGCUUCUGGUGAACACCCAGCCCUCUACAUGUAUCAGCUACUGAUUGAUGCUCUGCUUCCUAAUUACAUGGGAAAGCAUUAGGGACUUUUUCAAAGAACUGGUUCCUCAUCUUGCAGACUUAAAGUUCCAGGCGCAGCAGCUUUCAUCUGAUGCUGGAUGUUAUGCUGUGGCUCUGAGCCUCCUAGGGAUUGGGAGCAACAUGUUCUUGGACAACAAGAGAACAAGAGAAUUGUUCUGCAGAUACUUCUAAGGACAUAUCUGAGCCUUCAGGUCUUCUGAA